GGAGGGUACAGCUCAGUGGCAGAGCACCUGCUUAGCACGCACGAGGUCCUGGGCUCCAUCCCCAGAACCUCCU
rnacentral:tRNA from 1 species